rnacentral:rRNA from 1 species
UGGGGAGCAAACAGGAUUAGAUACCCUGGUAGUCCACGCCGUAAACGAUGAUCAUUAGUUGGUGGAAUAAUUUCACUAACGCAGCUAACGCGUUAAAUGAUCCGCCUGAGUAGUAUGCUCGCAAGAGUGAAAUUUAAAGGAAUUGACGGGAACCCGCACAAGCGGUGGAGCAUGUGGUUUAAUUUGAAGAUACGCGUAGAACCUUACCCACUCUUGACAUCUUCUGCAAAGCUAUAGAGAUAUAGUGGAGGUUAACAGAGUGACAGAUGGUGCA